rnacentral:rRNA from 1 species
CCUACGGGGGGCUGCAGUGGGGAAUAUUGGACAAUGGGGGGAACCCUGAUCCAGCCAUGCCGCGUGUGUGAAGAAGGCCCUCGGGUUGUAAAGCACUUUCAGUGAGGAAGAACGCCUGGUGGUUAAUACCCAUCAGGAAAGACAUCACUCACAGAAGAAGCACCGGCUAACUCCGUGCCAGCAGCCGCGGUAAUACGGAGGGUGCGAGCGUUAAUCGGAAUUACUGGGCGUAAAGCGCGCGUAGGUGGCUUGAUAAGCCGGUUGUGAAAGCCCCGGGCUCAACCUGGGAACGGCAUCCGGAACUGUCAAGCUAGAGUGCAGGAGAGGAAGGUAGAAUUCCCGGUGUAGCGGUGAAAUGCGUAGAGAUCGGGAGGAACACCAGUGGCGAAGGCGGCCUUCUGGACUGACACUGACACUGAGGUGCGAAAGCGUGGGUAGCAAACAGGAUUAGAUACCCCUGUAGUC